rnacentral:rRNA from 1 species
AUACGGAGGGUGCAAGCGUUACUCGGAAUCACUGGGCGUAAAGCGCGCGCAGGCGGUCUUUUAAGUUGGAUGUGAAAGCCUACGGUUCAACCGUAGAACUGCAUCCAAAACUAUUAGACUAGAGUGUGGGAGAGGAAGAUGGAAUUAGUUGUGUAGGGGUAAAAUCCGUAGAGAUAACUAGGAAUACCAAAAGCGAAGGCAAUCUUCUGGAACCCUACUGACGCUGAGGCGCGACAGCGUGGGGAGCACACAGGAUUAGAAACCCUAGUAGUCC